rnacentral:rRNA from 1 species
CCUACGGGAGGCAGCAGUGGGGGAUAUUGCACAAUGGAGGAAACUCUGAUGCAGCGACGCCGCGUGAGGGAAGACGGUCUUCGGAUUGUAAACCUCUGUCAUCGGGGAAGAACAUGACGGUACCUGAAGAAGAAGCCCUGGCUAACUACGUAACAGCAGCCGCGGUAAUACGUAGGGGGCAAGCGUUCUCCGGAUUUACUGGGUGUAAAGGGGGCGCAGACGGCGGUGCAAGCCAGGAGUGAAAGCCCGGGGCCAAACCCCGGGACUGCGCUUGGAACUGGGUGGCUGGAGUGCGGGAGGGGAAGGCGGAAUUCCUGGUGUAGGGGUGAAAUGCGUAGAUAUCAGGAGGAACACCGGUGGCGAAGGCGACCAGCUGGACUGCAACUGACGUUGAGGACCGAAAGCGUGGGGAGCAAACAGGAUUAGAUACCCGAGUAGUC